rnacentral:rRNA from 1 species
CAGUCGCCGCGGGAAUACAGAGGGUGCGAGCGUUAAUCGGAUUUACUGGGCGUAAAGCGUGCGUAGGCGGCUAAUUGAGUCGGAUGUGAAAUCCCCGAGCUUAACUUGGGAAUUGCAUUCGAUACUGGUUAGCUAGAGUGUGGGAGAGGAUGGUAGAAUUCCAGGUGUAGCGGUGAAAUGCGUAGAGAUCUGGAGGAAUACCGAUGGCGAAGGCAGCCAUCUGGCCUAAUACUGACGCUGAGGUACGAAAGCAUGGGGAGCAAACAGGAUUAGAUACCCCGGUAGUCCCUUGUCUCUUAUA